AAAAUGCAGAUGCAUCACUGAAGAACAAACCUGCCAAAGAAGCUGAUUCUGGUGAAGGCUCCGCAGGAAAGAUGCCACAAACUGAGAUUGAGAAAGAGACUUUCUCAGGUGAGAAGGAUAUCCCAGAUGCUGUAACUGUGGAAGCAAAUGAAGGAGCAGAGAAAGGGAAUGCUAAUGGUCCUAAUGGAACUGUUCCUGCAUCUGAGGGAGAGGUUAAAGAGAAACCAGGUAUUCAGGAGAAUGAUGUUAAGUGUAACAUCUCUGUAGAUGGAAAAGCCAAUACAACAGAUGGCGAAAUCACAGAAAAUGGUAAGGAUAGCCAAACAGGGCAAACUGAUGCUCCUCAAAAUCCAGCUCCUCCUGUGAGCUGCUG
rnacentral:misc_RNA from 1 species